GGUAAUGCUUGUUAACUCACAAAGCAUCAAACUUUGUGACAGAAUUCUUCAAGGGUUAAAAUAAAAUGUAGAAAAGAAUCCGAGCAAUAGGGGUUUUUUAAUAGGGAUUCAGUGAUAUAAUUAAAAUAAGCGAAAUGGUGAGAGUGAAACUGAAUCUCAGUUUUAAAGAAUGUCAGUGGUACUCUAAGAAAGAAACCAGGGCCUACUAUACAAUGUAAAAGCAUUGUGACCUUGGGAAGGCAUUGCUUGGAAAAUGAAGAUAGCUUUUUAUAGUUGACACUGCUGCUAUUUCAGCAGUGAUGCAAGUUUUCACAGCACAGAUGAAGCAGUGGUAAUCUUGAGAAGCCCACCUUCGUACAAACCAAGAUCUAUUGCCUUUUUCAAAACAUCAGGACAGUCAUUAUGCCAUUACCAGCAGGAAAGAGAUAUACAUGUCAUUCAAACAAGGUUUACAGUCCUGGCUCUCACAGAGGAGAUAGCAUCCUUCCUGAACACACAGCCCUCGACCUCCAAUUAAUGGGCGUUACUAAAUGAGAUUACUACAUUCCAGAUUUUAGGGGUGGCUUUCCAGGCUGUGAAUUAUGGAUUUUUGGCAAGAAUAAAUAUGCACUGUUAAUAUUGUUGGCCUCUAUUUUCCUCUUUUGUCUUGUGGGGGGUGAAGCCAAAAGUAGAACGCAACUACACCAAAAUGGUAAAACAGCUUGUGACAUUACAGUCCAUAUUCCUUAUGAAAAUAUGCUUAUGAUAUGAGUAUGACAUA